rnacentral:rRNA from 1 species
CACGUAGGGUGCAAGCGUUGUCCGGAAUCAUUGGGCGUAAAGAGCUCGUAGGCGGUUUGUCGCGUCUGCUGUGAAAACGCGGGGCUCAACUCCGCGCCUGCAGUGGGUACGGGCAGACUAGAGUGCAGUAGGGGAGACUGGAAUUCCUGGUGUAGCGGUGGAAUGCGCAGAUAUCAGGAGGAACACCGGUGGCGAAGGCGGGUCUCUGGGCUGUAACUGACGCUGAGGAGCGAAAGCGUGGGUAGCGAACAG